GACGUAGGGCGCGAGCGUUGUCCGGAUUUAUUGGGCGUAAAGAGCUCGUAGGCGGCUUGUCGCGUCGACCGUGAAAACUUGGGGCUCAACCCCAAGCCUGCGGUCGAUACGGGCAGGCUCGAGUUCGGUAGGGGAGACUGGAAUUCCUGGUGUAGCGGUGAAAUGCGCAGAUAUCAGGAGGAACACCGGUGGCGAAGGCGGAUCUCUGGGCCGUAACUGACGCUGAGGAGCGAAAGCAUGGGGAGCGAACAGG
rnacentral:rRNA from 1 species